GUCCGUUUAGCCGGAAUAGUUUCACUUCUUCUAAUACUUUCUCCAACCACCACCAAUUCACCGUGGUAAAACGAAACAUUAACGUUCUUCACUAUAAACAACGCCGGAUUAGGAUUAUGUAACGAGAUUUCGACUGAGACUGUAGUGUUUUGGUUCGUGUUGACUUUACCGUUGACAAAAUCGAACCGUUGGUUGAAAGAUAUGGAAUCGACGGUGAGGUUUGGGCUAUGGAGAUGGAAAACCGUGAGGGAGAGCACGAUGAAGGUGACUGCGAUGAGCAUAGUUAAAGAUGCGAUGAAACCACAACAUAAGAUGAGUUUGGUCUGUGAAUGGACGUAUUUGGUUCGGUCGUGGUGGUACUGAUCUUCUUCGUCUGGUUGGUCGCUUCGGGUAGUGAGAAAAAGUGGAGCUAAAGGCUUAGCUUGAUCCUCGUUAAUCUUACUCAUGGCUAGCUCCAUUUUCU